CCUACGGGGUGCAGCAGUGAGGAAUAUUGGUCAAUGGCCGGAAGGCUGAACCAGCCAAGCCGCGUGAAGGACGACGGUGCCAAGCAUUGUAAACUUCUUUUGUCCCGGGACAAAAUCAGGCACGAGAGCCUGACCGAGGGUACUUGAAGAAAAAGCAUCGGCUAACUCCGUGCCAGCAGCCGCGGUAAUACGGAGGAUGCGAGCGUUAUCCGGAUUUAUUGGGUUUAAAGGGUGCGUAGGCGGGCUGUUAAGUUAGCGGUAAAAGCCCGGGGCUCAACCCCGGCGAGCCGUUGAAACUGGCGGACUAGAGAUGUCGAGAGGCAUGCGGAAUGUGCAGUGUAGCGGUGAAAUGCUUAGAUAUUGCGCAGAACACCGAUUGCGAAGGCAGCAUGCCGGCGGCGAUCUGACGCUGAGGCACGAAAGCGUGGGUAUCGAACAGGAUUAGAUACCCGAGUAGUC
rnacentral:rRNA from 1 species